CCUUCUGUGCAUUUAAGUCCUCUGUCGCUUUCUGUUCAGUGUCGGGUCGUCUGCUUAUCUCCUGUCACUCACAAAGAGCCGAGAGCUGAACGACUCACAGGCUGCUGAACUGUCUGAAGUCACAUUCAAGGCUUCCACAAACGCUGUGCCGAGGGUUUUCCUCACACUAACGUCUGAGUCAGCAGGGGGCGCUGUCUCAUCAUUCAGCCAGGAGGUGCAGCAGUCUACAGCCACAUGUUGGCCUUUCCAACAGUGAUUGUGAAGCCUCCGGACAAACACCGGACAUCAGCAGGUUUCUCCCCACCUGCUCCUUAAACAUCACACUCAGUCUCUUCCACAGUUUCAUGUCUUGCCUAUAAGUGUCCCCUCCACCCCAGCUCACGGUAAUGUGACCACAUGUGCACAGCAGAGCUGCUGCAGACAUACUUGGACCUGUUUUCUCCACGAACUGAUACCACUGACCUUAGUCUUCGGGGACACAAUGUCUGCACCUCGUCCUGAUGCCCAGGUCCAGAUGUGGGAGGAGAUCCCUCAGGACAGCUGCUGAGUUGCUGCAGGGAAAUUUCAGCUCAAUGGACUCACUUUGAUUUUGAUCUUUGGGGUGUCAUUGAAUUCGGCCUCUGCAGGUUGAUCAUUUUCAUGUCUAUCAAACGAUGUGGCAUCGUUUCCUCCCCAUCACGUUACCCUGCUUCGUUUCUCCCAGUGAGAUCUGAUGUUUGAUGGGUUUAUUUUAUACAGGACUACUUUUUAAUGGCUUUAUUUCACCUAUACUGUUUCCUUUCUGUGACAAAUGAUGUCAUUAAAUAUGAUAAUUAAUAAUCAUAGAAAUAAUAUUAUUAAUCUGGUGCAGUAUGGCUGAGGUUUAGCCUCAUGGCUUUUGCAGAUGGUUCACUACAUUCCAGAACCUUCCGUCAUCCUGCCACAACAAUGGGUCAAAUUCUUUAAAGCACAGAAGAAUUUAUAGAAGUAAAUUAAUAAAACAUUUUUAUGAUCAAACAUAUCCCAGAAUCCAACAGUGACAGUUUGACCACCCGGACCACGCCCAGCAUGUGUGCGUGUAUACCGAGGGGUUCGUCGUGCUGCUCCAACAGGAGUCCAGGAGGCGCAGCGUAGCAACAACGAGCGUGGAGACAAAGCUGGCACUCAAAAAAAGAUUUUUAUUAACAACAAACCAAAACCGCCGUCUUCUCCACUCACAAGUAAAACACACAGUUCCACAGUGGGCCGGGAACCACAGCCGGCACCUGUGAGGUCAUUACACUUCAACCCAAUGACAAACGGGCCAGCGGGGGGCGCCGUUUCACAGCUGCUCUAUCAGCAGAUCUUUUGUGGUUUCAUACCAUCAGUCAUGUUCUUUUUGCUGCGAGGUCACAACUUUAACAAUCGAUACCUGCAGGGCGGAGGUCAUGUGACUCAUGUUUAUCAAAAUGAAGAGUGGGUUCCACAUGAUGACUCAUCGCGGUCAAACAGGAAGGUUACCGGGCGAGACACUUUUCUCCCAGCAUGCUUUGAUGAUGACGGCAUGAACCGAACAUGUGGCGAUCACAUGAUUAAA